rnacentral:lncRNA from 1 species
GUACUCUUCUUAUCACUUAUCUAGUAAAGAAAUAAUCUCAUUUCUAAAUCCAUGCUCUCCACUUUUAGAUCUCAGUUCCUUCUAGGAACUUACACCUCCCUUUUCCUGGACAAGAAUGUCAUCCAUAGAAGAAUAUUUGCUUAAAGAAAGGGGACACCAACUGGGUGACACAGUGAGCCAACUCUUCCCUGAUUAAAAAUCACAGCUUCCAUCCGGCAACUAUUUCCGUAUGCAUUAACCCAUUCUCUUCCUUCCUGUUUUUCACAUCUUAUGUUGGAUAUCGUAAGCAAACCAUCACCACCACUGACUAUAGAAGGAACAUGCAAGUUGGCCAGCCUAUGGACCAAUUCACCAUAUCUGCGUCUAUAAAAAUAAAAUUAUCUUCUCUGGACACCACUUUCCUAUUUGUAUUGUCUGCCUUUAUUAGACUAUAAAUUCCUGAAGCGUAAAGACUGCCUCCCUCUGUGUGUUUGUAUCCCCAGUGCUUAGCACUUUUUUUCCCCUCAUUGGUCCUUUUGUUCCAGUUCUACAAGUUGGUUUAAAAAUGUCAAAACCUGGAUUGUGAAAGUUUAGACUUCUAAGGAUUCUAGGAUUCUGAUCCAGACCUGGGUCUUCUAGACAAAUGGCAAUAGAGAUUUCAG